rnacentral:rRNA from 1 species
GACAGAGGGUGCAAACGUUGUUCGGAAUUACUGGGCGUAAAGCGCACGUAGGCGGCUUUGUAAGUUAGAGGUGAAAGCCCAGGGCUCAACCCUGGAAUUGCCUUUAAGACUGCAUCGCUUGAACACCGGAGAGGUAAGUGGAAUUCCGAGUGUAGAGGUGAAAUGCGUAGAUAUCGGAAGGAACACCAGUGGCGAAAGCGGCUUCCUGGUCCAGCACCGACGUUCAGGCACGAAAGCGUGGGGAGCAAACAGG